GACACCAUAGCUGAGGGGGUACAGUAACGGACUAGAAAUCUGUUCUCCUUUGAGAAUGUAGACAUAAAAUCUGCUCACCUUUGGGAGUGCAGGUUCGAAUCCUGCUGGUGUUU